CAACCAAUGACUUGGCGGAC
rnacentral:miRNA from 1 species